AGGGAAUCUUCCACAAUGGACGCAAGUCUGAUGGAGCAACGCCGCGUGAGUGAAGAAGGCUUUCGGGUCGUAAAACUCUGUUAUUGAAGAAGAACGUGUGUGACAGUAACUGGUCAUGCAGUGACGGUAUUCAAUCAGAAAGUCACGGCUAACUACGUGCCAGCAGCCGCGGUAAUACGUAGGUGGCAAGCGUUGUCCGGAUUUAUUGGGCGUAAAGCGAGUGCAGGCGGUCUUUUAAGUCUGAUGUGAAAGCCUUCGGCUUAACCGAAGAAGGGCAUCGGAAACUGGGAGACUUGAGUGCAGAAGAGGAGAGUGGAACUCCAUGUGUAGCGGUGAAAUGCGUAGAUAUAUGGAAGAACACCAGUGGCGAAGGCGGCUCUCUGGUCUGUAACUGACGCUGAGGCUCGAAAGCGUGGGUAGCAAACAGGAUUAGAUACCCUGG
rnacentral:rRNA from 1 species